rnacentral:rRNA from 1 species
GAUGAAUGCUGGCGGCGUGCCUAAAAGAAAGUCGAGCGGCAGCGCGGGUAGUUUACUACCUGGCGGCGAGCGGCGGACGGCUGAGUAACGCGUGGGAACGUGCCCCAAAGUGAGGAAUAACUGCCCGAAAGGGUGGCUAAUGCCGCAUAUGAUCUUCGGAUUAAAGUCUUCGGACGCUUUGGGAGCGGCCCGUGUCGGAUUAGGUAGUUGGUAGGGUAAUGGCCUACCAAGCCGACGAUCCGUAGCUGGUCUGAGAGGAUGACCAGCCAGACUGGAACUGAGACACGGUCCAGACUCCUACGGGAGGCAGCAGUGAGGAAUCUUCCACAAUGGGCGAAAGCCUGAUGGAGCAACGCCGCGUGCAGGAUGAUUGCCUUCUUUGUUGUAAACUGCUUUUAUAAGUGAAGAAUAUGACGGUAACUUAUGAAUAAGCACCGGCUAACUACGUGCCAGCAGCCGCGGUCAUACGUAGGGUGCAAGCAUUAUCCGGAGUGACUGGGCGUAAAGAGUUGCGUAGGUGGUUUGUUAAGUAGGUAGUGAAAUCUGGCGGCUCAACCGUACAGGCUAUUACCUAAACUGGCAAACUCGAGAAUGGUAGAGGUAACUGGAAUUUCUUGUGUAGGAGUGAAAUCCGUAGAUAUAAGAAGGAACACCAAUGGCGUAGGCUGGUUACUGGACCAUUUCUGACACUGAGGCACGAAAGCGUGGGGAGCGAACGGGAUUAGAUACCCCGGUAGUCCACGCCGUAAACGAUGGAUACUAGCUGUUGGAGGUAUCGACCCCUCCAGUAGCGAAGCUAACGCGUUAAGUAUCCCGCCUGUGGAGUACGGUCGCAAGACUAAAACAUAAAGGAAUUGACGGGGACCCGCACAAGCGGUGGAUUGUGUUCUUUAAUUCGAUGAUAAACGAAGAACCUUACCAGGGUUUGACAUCCCUUGAAUUAUGCCGAAAGGCGUGAGUGCUUUAUUGAACAAGGUGACAGGUGAUGCAUGGCCGUCGUCAGCUCGUGUCGUGAGAUGUUUGGUUAAGUCCAUCAACGAGCGCAACCCUUGUCUUCAGUUGGAUUUUUCUGAAGAGACUGCCCCGGCAACGGGGAGGAAGGAGGGGAUGAUGUCAGGUCAGUAUUUCCCUUACAUCCUGGGCUAGAAACGCAAUACAAUGGCUAGUACAAUGCGCAGCGAAGCCGCGAGGUGAAGCAAAUCGCAUCAAAGCUAGUCCCAGUUCGGAUAAGAGGCUGAAACUCGCCUCUUUGAAGUCGGAAUCGCUAGUAAUCGCAGUUCAGCAAGCUGCGGUGAAUACGUUCCCGGGUCUUGUACACACCG